CUGGGCGUAAGCGCACGCAGGCGGUCUGUCAAGUCGGAUGUGAAAUCCCCGGGCUCAACCUGGGAACUGCAUUCGAAACUGGCAGGCUAGAGUCUUGUAGAGGGGGGUAGAAUUCCAGGUGUAGCGGUGAAAUGCGUAGAGAUCUGGAGGAAUACCGGUGGCGAAGGCGGCCCCCUGGACAAAGACUGACGCUCAGGUGCGAAAGCGUGGGGAGCAAACAGGAUUAGAUACCCUGGUAGUCCACGCCGUAAACGAUGUCGACUUGGAGGUUGUGCCCUUGAGGCGUGGCUUCCGGAGCUAACGCGUUAAGUCGACCGCCUGGGGAGUACGGCCGCAAGGUUAAAACUCAAAUGAAUUGA
rnacentral:rRNA from 2 species